rnacentral:rRNA from 1 species
GACGAACGCUGGCGGCGUGCCUAAUACAUGCAAGUUGAGCGCUGAAGGUUGGUACUUGUACCAACUGGAUGAGCAGCGAACGGGUGAGUAACGCGUGGGGAAUCUGCCUUUGAGCGGGGGACAACAUUUGGAAACGAAUGCUAAUACCGCAUAAAAACUUUAAACACAAGUUUUAAGUUUGAAAGAUGCAAUUGCAUCACUCAAAGAUGAUCCCGCGUUGUAUUAGCUAGUUGGUGAGGUAAAGGCUCACCAAGGCGAGGAUACAUAGACGACCUGAGAGGGUGAUCGGCCACAUUGGGACUGAGACACGGCCCAAACUCCUACGGGAGGCAGCAGUAGGGAAUCUUCGGCAAUGGACGAAAGUCUGACCGAGCAACGCCGCGUGAGUGAAGAAGGUUUUCGGAUCGUAAAACUCUGUUGGUAGAGAAGAACGUUGGUGAGAGUGGAAAGCUCAUCAAGUGACGGUAACUACCCAGAAAGGGACGGCUAACUACGUG